UCUCUAUGCGGUGUCAGCCGCCGCGGUAAUACGGAGGGUGCAAGCGUUAAUCGGAAUUACUGGGCGUAAAGCGCACGCAGGCGGUCUGUUAAGUCAGAUGUGAAAUCCCCGGGCUUAACCUGGGAACUGCAUUUGAAACUGGCAGGCUUGAGUCUUGUAGAGGGGGGUAGAAUUCCAGGUGUAGCGGUGAAAUGCGUAGAGAUCGU
rnacentral:rRNA from 1 species